UCCCUCUCAGGGUCACACCUGGAGAGUUUCCAGUACUCUACCAGUGUCGGCUAUGGGAGGGAGAGUCAAAACAGAGGCAUAUCCAUUCCAUUCUUAGCUUGGGCAGUGGCUAGCAAGUGGAAGGCAAUCUGCUGCUAGU